GGUCUCAAGCGUGGUUCGGAUUCAUUGGGCGUAAAGGGUGCGUAGGCGGCGCGGUAAGUCGGGUGUGAAAUCUCGGAGCUUAACUCCGAAACUGCAUUCGAUACUGCCGUGCUUGAGGACUGGAGAGGAGACUGGAAUUUACGGUGUAGCGGUGAAAUGCGUAGAUAUCGUAAGGAAGACCAGUGGCGAAGGCGGGUCUCUGGACAGUUCCUGACGCUGAGGCACGAAGGUCAGGGGAGCAAACGGG
rnacentral:rRNA from 1 species